rnacentral:rRNA from 1 species
CCUACGGGAGGCAGCAGUGAGGAAUAUUGGUCAAUGGGCGCGAGCCUGAACCAGCCAAGUCGCGUGAGGGAAGACGGCCCUCCGGAUUGUAAACCUCUUUUGCCGGGGAGCAACUGGCGCCACGUGUGGCGCCACUGACGGUUCCCGGAGAAAAAGCAUCGGCUAACUCCGUGCCAGCAGCCGCGGUAAUAGGGAGGAUGCGAGCGUUAUCCGGAUUUAAUGGGUGUAAAGGGAGCGUAGAUGGGUUGAUAAGUCAGUUGUGAAAGUUUGCGGCUCAACCUUAAAAUUGCAAUUGAUACUGGCAGUCUUGAGUACAGUUGAGGUAGGCGGAAUUCGUGGUGUAGCGGUGAAAUGCUUAGAUAUCACGAAGAACUCCGAUUGCGAAGGCAGCUUACUAAACUGCCACUGACAUUGAUGCUCGAAAGUGUGGGUAUCAAACAGGAUUAGAUACCCCUGUAGUC